AUUUGCAGCAGUUUGUAUGACAGACUGUUGAUUGGGUUGAAUGACACUUUGUACCUAAAAACAAAUCAAAAAUAGAAUUUGGAAUGAGAGGUUAGAAAAUGAGAGGAAAGUUAGUCAAAGAAAGAAAACUGACAAUUGAAUGUUAACAUGCACAGAGGGACGUGGAGUCCCCUACCUGUGCCUGUGUUUGAGUGGUAGGUAAAGUGAGUUGAACUAUGUUAGUGGCUGUCACUAGAUGCGGUUGCGAGUUGUUGACUCCUACCGAUACCGAAAUGGGAGACUGGGGACCUGGGGAAGGUGCCAAAGGGUCAACAGAACCGUUCUCGUCCACCAUACUGUCCAUUGUACAAUAAUGUGAACUCCUACAAAAGAAAAACCAAGAGGUAUCAGGAUACUGCUUCAUUGAGAAUUCAACUAUUCGACAAUUAUAUUACUACCAUGAAUUGAUGUUAUUGGAAAAUAAACAAAUUUAUUUUGAUAGUAAAGGAUUAUAUCAACUUUGUACUUCAGGUCACCAACCUUUCAGAGCUUAGUUAUCGAAUAUGGGUUAAUUUAUCUGUUUACGAUUCAUAAGUUGCUAUGAUGUUUCAAGAUAGCAAAAUAUGAUAGGAAGAUUCCCUAAUUUAUUUCUUUCAAAAUUAUGGUUUGGGAGUCAUUGCUUUUUCUAAUUUUGAAUAAAUAUCUAAUAUAUAAA